rnacentral:rRNA from 1 species
UACGGAGGGGGCCAGCGUUGUUCGGAAUCACUGGGCGUAAAGGGUGCGUAGGCGGGUCUUUUAAGUCAGGGGUGAAAUCCUGGAGCUCAACUCCAGAACUGCCUUUGAUACUGGCGAUCUUGAGUCCGGGAGAGGUGAGUGGAACUGCGAGUGUAGAGGUGAAAUUCGUAGAUAUUCGCAAGAACACCAGUGGCGAAGGCGGCUCACUGGCCCGGUACUGACGCUGAGGUGCGAAAGCGUGGGGAGCAAACAGG